rnacentral:lncRNA from 1 species
GCCAGAACAGUCAAAUAAGUACGCAAGGGCGCCAUCUGGUGACAACAUUUACCGGGGGAAAAACUACUGAAUUGGAUGGAGUGAGCCACUACCCCGGUUGUUGGUUUGUUGACAGUACAGACGUAAAUACAACUCUUCUUCUGUAGAUGUUUUGGCGAAAUUAGACAACUCUGCGCACGUCCAAAUGGUUCUAAUCAGAAUAAAUCUUGGUGCGUGUAUAUGAAUGUCAUGAUCGGAUCAUUUGAUUCAUUUAAACAGUGGAUUCAAAUUAUCCGAUCCCUCAAGCUCGUGUUAGCUUUGCUUUGAUUCCAGCAUCAACCUGUGCUGUGUCAAGUGUUUGAAGUGGCUCGUUAAAAAGAGUGACAGUGAUGUCUCCAAAUAGCAAUUAUAACAAGUGUGCAAAAGGAAAAAAACAUAAUUACUGGCUGAACAUGAACGUAGCAUAUGUUUAACUCCUUUAGCCACAGCUGUGUUUGAGUAUUGAUUGAUCUGAACUACCAAACUCCAUGCUAACACAUCUACAUUACCUUCACAUGUUAACAGUUUUUUAAGCUCAUACUAUUCUCAGUUUCAUAACAAUGCAAUGGAUAUCAUGGUGCUAUAGGUACAAUAAAUUGAUUGCUAACAAUGCUAAAAUAGGUGCACAUUUUGAAUGCUUACAGAUGGUAUGUUAAUGUGUACAAGUUUUGGACUCUAGUACAAUUUGCUGGCAGUGUUAGAAAACUUAGGUCUUUGUUAUUUGCAGAAAAGGGUCCAAAGAUAGAAAGUCUUUGAGUGCAGGGGUGGUGGUCUACAUCCAUCCAUUCAUGAUCUUUUUCACUUUUUUUAUUCAGGGUCGCAGGUGGGCCGGAGCCUAUCUCAGCCGUCACUGGGCAAGAGGCAGAGUACACACUGUACAGAUUGCCAGUCUAUCACAGGGCUAACAUUACAGAGACAGACAACCAUUCUCUCUGACACUCACACCUAUGGACAUGGUCUUGGACCAUGGGAGGAAGCCAGAGCACCCGCAGAAAACCCACCCAUGCAUGGGGAGGGCAUGCAAACUCUACACCAAAAAUCCUUGCUGGGCCAGGGAUCUGACUGAGGACUCUUCUUACUAUGAGGCAACCAAUGUAGGCUCCACCACUGUAGUAAAAGAUUCCCAUUCUCAUGAUGUAUUUAACUUACUAGUAAUCCCAGUGCCAUUCAGCAAGGACUUUCCAGCAUUCAGUGGACCAAACAUGCACAUUCCCAGUUACGAUAUCUCCAAAACUAUUCAAAUUCAAAGCUCCUGCAAAGUUUUUAGCAGGUUAUAAAAUGGACUGUAAUAUAUAUAGUGUUCUCUUUUUGAGACCUCAGUGAAAGAGGUCACUUUUAAGGAUUUAAUAUCUUUAAAAUGACUUUUAUGUCAGUGUAGUCACUGCUUCUAGGUGGUUGUCAGAUUUUGCAAACAUCAGAGACUCUUUUUUUUUUCUUUUGACUUUUCUCAAGGUAAAGAUUUACAAUGAGAAACAUGCUUGACUGUUCAAAGACAGCAGGAGGGGAUUUUUAAUAAAAUAACACAAUUUAUUUA